GCUGCACACAUAAAAACCCAAAUUUCAUGAUUUUUUCUAAUUUUUCAUAAAUUUCCAAAAAAUUGGUCCGUUGAAUUUUUUUUAAAUUUGACAUAAUAUGGUCUCAAUAAUAAGCUUUAAAAAAAAAAAAAAAAAAAUAUGGGUCACCAGAUUAUUUUUUGACCUACAAACUUUUUUGUUACCCCUGCCAACACAGUAAUCAAAAGCAAUUCUUUGUUUAUCUUUCAAAAAUGUGUGUAAAAAGUUAUGAAUAUGUUACUAUAUCUUUGGUAUAAACUACUGGCAUUAAUGAAGUAUCACAUGAGAAUAAAAUAAAUGCUAUUUUUUGUUGCUAUGAACAACGGUAACCAUGGCAACAGGGCAAGAAGUAGGAAAAUUCAUAUUUUACAUUGUUUUGAAGUGCAAGUAUCACAUCUACCAGACAUAAAGAGAUCAAAUUCAAUUAUUUGAGAGCUACAACACAUGGCUUCUAUGUAAUUAUCAAGGAAUAUCAUGAUAUUAUUGCUUUUACAAAGUGUUUCUAUAGUAAAAAUUUAGCAGAAAAAAAAAUACUCAGCAGUUCCAGGCAAAAUUCAUUAUAUUUUUUAGACAGUAACAAUUCAUAGGUACGAUUUUUGCUGUUGGAACAGAUUAAAAAAUAUCAAGACUUUUUUCACCUUGUCGUUAAUUAACAAUUUGAGGAUGUUUGCUUGUCAUGUUUUAGAAUUUUUGUCAGAUUUUCGGGGUCCUCUGGUUUUAUCCAUUUGAAUGCCUUCAAAUUUUUUGCCCAUUUAAACCCCAAUUUUUCUUUUUAUAAAUCUUUUACAUACAUAUAUAAUUAUAAGCCAUUUGUAAAAGUCUUCUAAAAUUUUAUUUAUCUUUUAAUAGUUUUUCAGAACUUUAACUUGUCAAUGAUCAAGCUAUGAAAAAUCAAGAGAGAACAUUUCCCCACCAAAAUUUCAAUGGCUAGUAUCUCGAAAAUAAGCACAUUGACUUCUAUAUAUUUUUUGCAUCCUUUAUAAAUCCCCUAUCAAUAUAUACUAGUUUUAUGAAAAGCUAUUUAUUUUGGAACUGAGUAGCUAACUUCCUUAAGUAUGAAACAGCAUACACAUUAGUUGCCAUGAUAACAAAGUGAUAAACAAUAAUUUAUGAAAUUAUAUUUUUUCAAAAGUUUUUUUUAACUUUCUUUAUUUUCAAUGUGUAUAGACACUUACAUUUAAAUAUAUAUAUAUUUAAUUCCUCUAUUUCAUUUAAAUUCUGAUUGAUAGUCGGAGCAAAAUUAGAGUUUUCUUCAUUUCCUGUCAAAAUUGUCCAUCCCUACAUCAAAAUUCCAACCAAUCAAUCACACAAUUACCAGACACAUUAUUUAAAAAAAAAAUACAAAUAAAAGAAAAAUCUUAUUUGUUCACAAUAAUAUUCUUCAAUACUAUUAUUCUCAUAAAUCAGAUAAGAAGAAUAAAGAUAAUAGGUGCUGUGUUUUUAUAAAUAUGAAAUCUUAGAGGAAAAAAACCCAAAAGAUAGGAAUCAUAUGAAGGAAAGGAUAUGAUGGGUAUGACUUUGACAUUAAAUGGUAAUAUACAUGUACAUAAGACAGAAGUUGCAAUAAGGAACAACUCUUUGAUUGCUGUUCUUUAUCUUAAAAGUUGCAGUGAGAUGCACAACAAUAAGAAAACAUUUUAAACUUGCCACCAAGUUUGGUUCUAAUUAGCCCAUUUGUUCUGAAAAAAAUAUUUUAAAAUGUCUUUCACAUCUAGAGGUCCUAUGUUAAACUAUAAACAUGAUAAAAGGACAAAAAAUGCCAACUG
rnacentral:lncRNA from 1 species